GAUGAACGCUGGCGGCGUGCCUAAUACAUGCAAGUCGAGCGAACAGACAAGGAGCUUGCUCCUCUGACGUUAGCGGCGGACGGGUGAGUAACACGUGGAUAACCUACCUAUAAGACUGGGAUAACUUCGGGAAACCGGAGCUAAUACCGGAUAAUAUAUUGAACCGCAUGGUUCAAUAGUGAAAGACGGUUUUGCUGUCACUUAUAGAUGGAUCCGCGCCGCAUUAGCUAGUUGGUAAGGUAACGGCUUACCAAGGCAACGAUGCGUAGCCGACCUGAGAGGGUGAUAGGCCACACUGGAACUGAGACACGGUCCAGACGCCUACGGGAGGCAGCAGUAGGGAAUCGGCCGCAAUGGGCGAAAGCCUGACGGAGCAACGCGGCGUGAGUGAUGAAGGUCUUCGGAUCGUAAAACUCUGUUAUUAGGGAAGAACAAAUGUGUAAGUAACUAUGCACGUCUUGACGGUAACUAAUCAGAAAGCCACGGCUAACUACGUG
rnacentral:rRNA from 1 species